AUGGAAAAAAAAAAGAGAGAGAGACUCAUGCUAUCCAAAGAAGGCUGUGUGAACAGGCUGGAUCAGACACUUUGGAAGCCAUGGGUUUCGUUCUGGAGGGAGAAGAGGAUGAACAUUCUGAGGCUUGCUAGAGAUGUCCAGGAGGCUCAAGACUGGCCAGUCAGAAGCAGGAAUCAGUCCAUCGGGCAGGCCUUCCUAGGAAGCCAUUGUUUUUCCAACUAAUGAGACAAGAGAACCAGCAGCACCCCCUCCUGGGAUGAAGGCUCCACCAGAGAAUGGAGGAGGGAGUCAGAAGGAGCUGAUCUUCAGCGCCUGCCGCUCAGGAGCAGCUGCAGCUGCUGCGUCCUACUGUAAAAGACAAGCUCUUCUCUAGUGAAGCCGCUUGGAAUCCAUUUCCGUUCCAGCAGCUAACUGAGCCUGAGACAGUAAAAGCAGGAAAAGUUAUUUGUGGGGAUGGCACAGCAUGUGCUAACCCACUCUGAAAUCCAGAAGGAAGAUACUGUUCCCACUUUGCACAUAAGGAAGAGAAACAACCAAGAAGAGACGCUUGGCCCAAGGUCACACAGGAAUCCAGGGGCAAAGGCCUUAUCUAUUGCUGGGUAACGAAUUGCCACUAAUGAAGUGGGUUAAUCAAUGCACAGUUAUUAGGUCAUAGUUUCCUUGGGUUAAGAAACCCAGCACAGGUCCUGCA
rnacentral:lncRNA from 1 species